AGUGGUCUGAGUCGGCCGCGCCCAAGUCCAUUGGAACAUGGCGCCUGGGAGGGUGAGAGCCCCGUAUGGCGCACGCCGACUCUUUGUACACCGCGGCUCCGACGAGUCGAGUUGUUUGGGAAUGCAGCUCUAAGUGGGUGGUAAAUUCCAUCUAAAGCUAAAUAUUGGCGAGAGACCGAUAGCGAACAAGUACAGUGAUGGAAAGAUGAAAAGCACUUUGAAAAGAGAGUGAAACAGCACGUGAAAUUGUUGAAAGGGAAGGGCUUGCAAGCAGACACGGUUUUACCGGGCCAGCGUCGAAAAGGGGGGAGGAACAAGAACUCGAGAAUGUGGCGCGCACCUUCGGGCGCGCGUGUUAUAGCUCGUGUUGACGCCUCCAUCCCUUUUCGAGGCCUGCGAUUCUAGGACGCUGGCGUAAUGGUUGCAAGCCGCCCGUCUUGAAACACGGACCCUGUCUCUUAUAC
rnacentral:rRNA from 1 species